UCGGGAAUUUUGGGCAAUGGGCGAAAGCCUGACCCAGCAACGCCGCGUGAAGGAUGAAGUAUUUCGGUAUGUAAACUUCGUAAGAAUAGGAAGAAUAAAUGACGGUACUAUUUGUAAGGUCCGGCUAACUACGUGCCAGCAGCCGCGGUAAUACGUAGGGACCAAGCGUUGUUCGGAUUUACUGGGCGUAAAGGGCGCGUAGGCGGUGUGUCAAGUCAGUUGUGAAAUCUCCGAGCUUAACUCGGAACGGUCAACUGAUACUGUCACACUAGAGUACAGAAGGGGCAAUCGGAAUUCUUGGUGUAGCGGUGAAAUGCGUAGAUAUCAAGAGGAACACCUGAGGCGAAGGCGGGUUGCUGGGCUGAUACUGACGCUGAGGUGCGAAAGCUAGGGUAGCAAACGGGAUUAGAUACCCCCGUAGUCCCUGAGCGGGCUGGCAAGGCGCAU
rnacentral:rRNA from 1 species